rnacentral:snRNA from 1 species
UUACUUCAGCAGCAUAUACUUUAAAAUUGGAUCAACAGCGGAUAAGCAUAAGCAUGGCUGCUGCCUCAGGAUGGCACACAAAUUCAUAGAGCAUUCCAUAUUUUG